rnacentral:rRNA from 1 species
ACUCAAAUGAAUUGACGGGGACCCGCACAAGCGGUGGAGCAUGUGGAUUAAUUCGAUAAUAACCGAAGAACCUUACCCAGGUUUGACAUCGAUCGUAAGCCUCUGAAAGGAGGCCCUCUCCCACAAGGAGACGUGAAGACACUUGUUGCAUGGCUGUCGUCAGCUCGUGCCGUGAGGUGUACGGUUAAGUCCGCCAACGAGCGCAACCCUCGUCCUGUGUUACCAGCACGUAAUGGUGGGGACUCACAGGAGACCGCCGGUGUAAGCCGGAGGAAGGUGAGGAUGAUGUCAAGUCAGCAUGGCAGUUACGCCUGGGGCUUCACACAUGCUACAAUGGGCGAAACAAAGGGAAGCAAUACCGCGAGGUGGAGCCGAUCCCAAAAAUACGUCCUCAGUUCAGAUUGUAGUCUGCAACUCGACUACAUGAAGGCGGAAUCGCUAGUAAACGCAGGUCAGCUAUACUGCGUUGAAUACGUUCCCGGGUCUUGUACACACCGCCCGU